GAACGCCGUAUGCCCGGAAACGGGCGCGUACGGUGUGAAGUGGGGGAAAAGCUGGAGAUAAUCUCAAAGGCUUACCUAUCACUAU
rnacentral:ncRNA from 3 species